UUUUAGCCCUGAUGGGAGCGGCAUCCUUUAUGUUUUUUCUUUAAAAACAUAAAGAUAUAGCGUACAGCAGGAAAUAGC
rnacentral:sRNA from 1 species